AUUGAACGCUGGCGGCAUGCUUUACACAUGCAAGUCGAGCGGGGGAAGGUAGCUUGCUACCGGACCUAGCGGCGGACGGGUGAGUAACACGUGGGUAACCUGCCUCAUAGAGGGGGAUAGCCUCCCGAAAGGGAGAUUAAUACCGCAUAACAUCAUGCUAACGCAUGUUAGUAUGAUCAAAGGAGUAAUCCGCUAUGAGAUGGACCCGCGGCGCAUUAGCUAGUUGGUGAGGUAACGGCUCACCAAGGCGACGAUGCGUAGCCGACCUGAGAGGGUGAUCGGCCACAUUGGAACUGAGACACGGUCCAGACUCCUACGGGAGGCAGCAGUGGGGAAUAUUGCACAAUGGGCGAAAGCCUGAUGCAGCAACGCCGCGUGAGUGAAGAAGGCCUUCGGGUUGUAAAGCUCUGUCUUUUGGGACGAUAAUGACGGUACCAAAGGAGGAAGCCACGGCUAACUACGUGCCAGCCGCCGCCGUAA
rnacentral:rRNA from 1 species